GAUAUUGCGCCAAUGGGCGAAAGCCUGACGCAGCAACGCCGCGUGCGGGAGGACGGCCUUCGGGUUGUAAACCGCUUUUCUGGGGGAAGAGGGAGGACGGUACCCUGGGAAGAAGUCUCGGCUAACUACGUGCCAGCAGCCGCGGUAAAACGUAGGAGGCGAGCGUUAUCCGGAUUUACUGGGUGUAAAGCGCGUGCAGGCGGUUUAGCAAGUCGUGCGUGAAAGCGCUCUGGCUCAACCGGGCGAGGACGUGCGGAACUGCUGAACUGGAGGCAGGUAGAGGCGUGUGGAAUUCCGGGUGUAGUGGUGAAAUGCGUAGAGAUCCGGAGGAACACCAGUGGCGAAGGCGACGCGCUGGGCCUGGCCUGACGCUAAGACGCGAAAGCAUGGGGAGCGAACGG
rnacentral:rRNA from 1 species